rnacentral:tRNA from 1 species
AUAUAGCUUAGUGGUAAAGCACCUGCCUCCCUGCCUUGUAUGUAUGAGGCCCUAGGUUCACUCCCUAGUAU